rnacentral:rRNA from 1 species
UACGAAGGGGGCUAGCGUUGCUCGGAAUUACUGGGCGUAAAGGGCGCGUAGGCGGAUAUCUAAGUUGGGGGUGAAAUCCCGGGGCUCAACCUCGGAAUUGCCUUCAAAACUGGAUAUCUUGAGUUCGGGAGAGGUGAGUGGAACUCCGAAUGUAGAGGUGAAAUUCGUAGAUAUUCGGAAGAACACCAGUGGCGAAGGCGACUCACUGGCCCGAUACUGACGCUGAGGCGCGAAAGCGUGGGGAGCAAACAGG